GAUGAAGAACGUAGCGAAAUGCGAUAAGUAAUGUGAAUUGCAGAAUUCAGUGAAUCAUCGAAUCUUUGAACGCACAUUGCGCCCGCCAGUAUUCUGGCGGGCAUGCCUGUUCGAGCGUCAUUACAACCCUCAGGCCCCCGGGCCUGGCGUUGGGGAUCGGCGAGGCGCCCCCCGCGGGCACGCGCCGUCCCCCAAAUACAGUGGCGGUCCCGCCGCAGCUUCCAUUGCGUAGUAGCUAACACCUCGCAACUGGAGAGCGGCGCGGCCAUGCCGUAAAACACCCAACUUCUGAAUGUUGACCUCGAAUCAGGUAGGAAUACCCGCUGAACUUAAGCAUAUCAAAAGCGGAGGA
rnacentral:misc_RNA from 1 species